rnacentral:rRNA from 1 species
CUUUGACCUAUUUGUUGGUUUCUUGAGGUCAAAGUAAUGAUUAAUAGGGACAGUUGGGGGCAUUCGUAUUUAAUUGUCAGAGGUGAAAUUCUUGGAUUUAUUAAAGACGAACUUAUGCGAAAGCAUUUGCCAAGGAUGUUUUCAUUAAUCAAGAACGAAAGUUAGGGGAUCAAAGACGAUCAGAUACCGUCCUAGUCUUAACCAUAAACUAUGCCGACUAGGGAUCGGACGAUGUUAUUUCAUUGACUCGUUCGGCACCUUAUGAGAAAUCAAAGUUUUUGGGUUCCGGGGGGAGUAUGGUCGCAAGGCUGAAACUUAAAGGAAUUGACGGAAGGGCACCACCAGGAGUGGAGCCUGCGGCUUAAUUUGACUCAACACGG